rnacentral:rRNA from 1 species
UACGUAGGGGGCAAGCGUUGUCCGGAUUUAUUGGGCGUAAAGAGCGUGUAGGCGGCUAGGUAGGUCCGCUGUGAAAACUCGAGGCUCAACCUCGAGACGUCGGUGGAAACCAUCUAGCUAGAGUCCGGAAGAGGAGAGUGGAAUUCCCGGUGUAGCGGUGAAAUGCGCAGAUAUCGGGAGGAACACCCGUGGCGAAGGCGGCAUCCUGGACCAUUACUGACGCUGAGGUGCGAAAGCGUGGGGAGCAAACAGG